CUUCUGUAUCCCAUGAUGAGCAAACCUCCUGUCCAACAACAUCUCCAAGGCACACUGAACCAUAUGACUAGCAGUGAAAAAUACAUCGUGGGCCAAAGAGGAAACUGACAACACACUGACAGAAGAAGACAGAGAAGGUCACUUCUGAUCGCUGUAGUGCCUCAGUUCAAGCAGCACACAUGAACGAACCGAUUGAUUCAUAUUUAAUUGAAGCACAAAUUAAAAGAUGUCACACGUCUUUAUACAACAUUUUUCAAGUUUAAGUCCACCGAAGUUAAUCUACUCUCCUGUCUACUGUAUUUUCUGCGCCAUAAGGCGCACCGGAUUAUAAGGCGCAGUCUCAAAACAGUGAGUUUAGUUGAACUUUAUUCUACUAUUUAACAAUACACUCACAUUAUUUUUUAAUCAAUCUUCUCCCACAGAUCCAUCAAUGUCCUCAUCUUCUGUGUCUGAAUUGAACAACUGA